CCAAUACUCAAAAUGAGGAACCCCAAGGCCAAAACAAUCAGUUGGUUGUACGGGUGAGCUCUCAACCUGAACCCCUCCACACUGUCGGCCCGGAUACCUCCCAAGCAUAUAUGACCGAUUUGACGUGGAAAACAAAGGCUGAGGUCAAGGAAUGGAUUAUUUCCAAGGCAAAAGAGAAUAUGUGCGUAAUUGUUCAAACAAACACGUUGAUUGUAAGCAAAUGGAGAUGGUAUGCGAGAGAGCGGGGGAUAAGGAAGAAAGUCACAGAGGGAAGAACUACAAGUAUGUGAAGAAGACGACGAGGGUCUACAAAACUUCGUCGAAGAAGAUAAAAUGCCCCUUCAGGAUUGUUUUCAAAAGGCAUCCUAAAACUCUACUAUGGUGGAUGUUUAGUAUUCCGGAUGGUCGUCACAACCAUCCUCCACCUAGUACUCUUUUAGGGCACCCAGCAUAUGCCGGAUUGAAACCACAUCAAAUGGAAAAGGUUCGGCAGAUGAAGCGAUGUAGGCCCCUUAAGAUUCUAAAUGCAAUAAAGGCGGAAGAUAAGUCAUCAAAUUGAUUUCAAAGGAGGAGUUAUCGUGAUUUCAACCUUGUCUUUCGUUUUCUUGUCACUACAUU